rnacentral:rRNA from 1 species
UACGAAGGGUGCGAGCAUUAUUCGGAAUAAUUGGGCGUACAGGGUGCGCAGGCGGUAUGUUAAGUCAACUGUUAAACCCCCCAGCCUCACUGAGGAUCAGCGGUAGAUACUGGCGUACUAGAGGAUGGAAGAGAGAAGUGGAAUUCUUGGAGUAGCGGUAAAAUGCGUAGAUCUCAAGAGGAACAACGAUGGCGAAGGCAGCUUCUUGGUCCAUAUCUGACGCUCAUGCACGAAAGCGUGGGGAGCAAACAGG